UGACAGUACUCUACGGGGAGGCAGCAGUGGGGAAUAUUGCACAAUGGGGGAAACCCUGAUGCAGCCAUGCCGCGUGUGUGAAGAAGGCCUUCGGGUUGUAAAGCACUUUCAGUAGGAGGAAGGUAGUGUAGUUAACACCUGCAUUAUUUGACGUUACCUACAGAAGAAGCACCGGCUAACUCCGUGCCAGCAGCCGCGGUAAUACGGAGGGUGCGAGCGUUAAUCGGAAUUACUGGGCGUAAAGCGCAUGCAGGCGGCCUGUUAAGUCAGAUGUGAAAGCCCGGGGCUUAACCUCGGAAUUGCAUUUGAAACUGGCAGGCUAGAGUCUUGUAGAGGGGGGUAGGAAUUUCAGGUGUAGCGGUGAAAUGCGUAGAGAUCUGAAGGAAUACCAGUGGCGAAGGCGGCCCCCUGGACAAAGACUGACGCUCAGAUGCGAAAGCGUGGGGAGCAAACAGGAUUAGAUACCCUGGUAG
rnacentral:rRNA from 1 species